rnacentral:rRNA from 1 species
GACGGAGGAUGCAAGCGUUAUCCGGAAUGAUUGGGCGUAAAGCGUCUGCAGGUGGCAGUUCAAGUCUGCUGUCAAAGACCGGGGCUUAACUUCGGAAAGGCAGUGGAAACUGAAGCGCUAGAGUGCGGUAGGGGUAGAGGGAAUUCCCGGUGUAGCGGUGAAAUGCGUAGAGAUCGGGAAGAACAUCGGUGGCGAAAGCGCUCUACUGGACCGCAACUGACACUCAGGGACGAAAGCUAGGGGAGCGAAUGGG